CAGGAUACAAAAGGAAGAUUCUAUGAAACAGAGCAGUUUAAUACUGUUCAUAUCUUCCCUCUUUCCAUUUACAAGCCCUCGGAUUUGACUAAUACCUUCAAGACGGCAAAUCAGAGAUGGGCUGCUGCUAAAACAAAAACGAAAGAGCUGGAAUCUCACGUCAUCGGCAAAACCAAAGACUUUUUAGAAGCGUUGACCAAGCCUUCUUUGCCUUCUUCUUCAAGUCAAGCUCAAAAGGUUAAAGAUUUUGCAGAAAAAAUCACAAUAGUAAAUCUGGGUUGAGCAUGUUAGUCUCUGUUUUGCUCUGUUCUUUUUUUCUUUUUCAAAGAGAACAAGAAAUGUGGUUGAAGAAUCGAAGAAACUGAAAGCAAUCUAAUAAAUGAAGGUUUCCUUUAAAAGUUAAAAA